rnacentral:rRNA from 2 species
UUAAGCGACUAAGCGUACACGGUGGAUGCCCUGGCAGUCAGAGGCGAUGAAGGACGUGCUAAUCUGCGAUAAGCGUCGGUGAGGUGAUAUGAACCGUUAUAACCGGCGAUUUCCGAAUGGGGAAACCCAGUGUGUUUCGACACACUAUCAUUAACUGAAUCCAUAGGUUAAUGAGGCGAACCGGGGGAACUGAAACAUCUAAGUACCCCGAGGAAAAGAAAUCAACCGAGAUUCCCCCAGUAGCGGCGAGCGAACGGGGAGGAGCCCAGAGCCUGAAUCAGUGUGUGUGUUAGUGGAAGCGUCUGGAAAGGCGUGCGAUACAGGGUGACAGCCCCGUACACAAAAAUGCACAUAUUGUGAGCUCGAUGAGUAGGGCGGGACACGUGGUAUCCUGUCUGAAUAUGGGGGGACCAUCCUCCAAGGCUAAAUACUCCUGACUGACCGAUAGUGAACCAGUACCGUGAGGGAAAGGCGAAAAGAACCCCGGCGAGGGGAGUGAAAAAGAACCUGAAACCGUGUACGUACAAGCAGUGGGAGCCUCUUAAUGGGGUGACUGCGUACCUUUUGUAUAAUGGGUCAGCGACUUAUAUUCUGUAGCAAGGUUAACCGAAUAGGGGAGCCGAAGGGAAACCGAGUCUUAACUGGGCGUUAAGUUGCAGGGUAUAGACCCGAAACCCGGUGAUCUAGCCAUGGGCAGGUUGAAGGUUGGGUAACACUAACUGGAGGACCGAACCGACUAAUGUUGAAAAAUUAGCGGAUGACUUGUGGCUGGGGGUGAAAGGCCAAUCAAACCGGGAGAUAGCUGGUUCUCCCCGAAAGCUAUUUAGGUAGCGCCUCGUGAAUUCAUCUCCGGGGGUAGAGCACUGUUUCGGCAAGGGGGUCAUCCCGACUUACCAACCCGAUGCAAACUGCGAAUACCGGAGAAUGUUAUCACGGGAGACACACGGCGGGUGCUAACGUCCGUCGUGAAGAGGGAAACAACCCAGACCGCCAGCUAAGGUCCCAAAGUCAUGGUUAAGUGGGAAACGAUGUGGGAAGGCCCAGACAGCCAGGAUGUUGGCUUAGAAGCAGCCAUCAUUUAAAGAAAGCGUAAUAGCUCACUGGUCGAGUCGGCCUGCGCGGAAGAUGUAACGGGGCUAAACCAUGCACCGAAGCUGCGGCAGCGACACUAUGUGUUGUUGGGUAGGGGAGCGUUCUGUAAGCCUGUGAAGGUGGCCUGUGAGGGUUGCUGGAGGUAUCAGAAGUGUGAAUGCUGACAUAAGUAACGAUAAAGCGGGUGAAAAGCCCGCUCGCCGGAAGACCAAGGGUUCCUGUCCAACGUUAAUCGGGGCAGGGUGAGUCGACCCCUAAGGCGAGGCCGAAAGGCGUAGUCGAUGGGAAACAGGUUAAUAUUCCUGUACUUGGUGUUACUGCGAAGGGGGGACGGAGAAGGCUAUGUUGGCCGGGCGACGGUUGUCCCGGUUUAAGCGUGUAGGCUGGUUUUCCAGGCAAAUCCGGAAAACCAAGGCUGAGGCGUGAUGACGAGGCACUACGGUGCUGAAGUGACAAAUGCCCUGCUUCCAGGAAAAGCCUCUAAGCAUCAGGUAACAUCAAAUCGUACCCCAAACCGACACAGGUGGUCAGGUAGAGAAUACCAAGGCGCUUGAGAGAACUCGGGUGAAGGAACUAGGCAAAAUGGUGCCGUAACUUCGGGAGAAGGCACGCUGAUAUGUAGGUGAAGCGACUUGCUCGUGGAGCUGAAAUCAGUCGAAGAUACCAGCUGGCUGCAACUGUUUAUUAAAAACACAGCACUGUGCAAACACGAAAGUGGACGUAUACGGUGUGACGCCUGCCCGGUGCCGGAAGGUUAAUUGAUGGGGUUAGCGGUAACGCGAAGCUCUUGAUCGAAGCCCCGGUAAACGGCGGCCGUAACUAUAACGGUCCUAAGGUAGCGAAAUUCCUUGUCGGGUAAGUUCCGACCUGCACGAAUGGCGUAAUGAUGGCCAGGCUGUCUCCACCCGAGACUCAGUGAAAUUGAACUCGCUGUGAAGAUGCAGUGUACCCGCGGCAAGACGGAAAGACCCCGUGAACCUUUACUAUAGCUUGACACUGAACAUUGAGCCUUGAUGUGUAGGAUAGGUGGGAGGCUUUGAAGUGUGGACGCCAGUCUGCAUGGAGCCGACCUUGAAAUACCACCCUUUAAUGUUUGAUGUUCUAACGUUGGCCCGUAAUCCGGGUUGCGGACAGUGUCUGGUGGGUAGUUUGACUGGGGCGGUCUCCUCCUAAAGAGUAACGGAGGAGCACGAAGGUUGGCUAAUCCUGGUCGGACAUCAGGAGGUUAGUGCAAUGGCAUAAGCCAGCUUGACUGCGAGCGUGACGGCGCGAGCAGGUGCGAAAGCAGGUCAUAGUGAUCCGGUGGUUCUGAAUGGAAGGGCCAUCGCUCAACGGAUAAAAGGUACUCCGGGGAUAACAGGCUGAUACCGCCCAAGAGUUCAUAUCGACGGCGGUGUUUGGCACCUCGAUGUCGGCUCAUCACAUCCUGGGGCUGAAGUAGGUCCCAAGGGUAUGGCUGUUCGCCAUUUAAAGUGGUACGCGAGCUGGGUUUAGAACGUCGUGAGACAGUUCGGUCCCUAUCUGCCGUGGGCGCUGGAGAACUGAGGGGGGCUGCUCCUAGUACGAGAGGACCGGAGUGGACGCAUCACUGGUGUUCGGGUUGUCAUGCCAAUGGCACUGCCCGGUAGCUAAAUGCGGAAGAGAUAAGUGCUGAAAGCAUCUAAGCACGAAACUUGCCCCGAGAUGAGUUCUCCCUGACUCCUUGAGGGUCCUGAAGGAACGUUGAAGACGACGACGUUGAUAGGCCGGGUGUGUAAGCGCAGCGAUGCGUUGAGCUAACCGGUACUAAUGAACCGUGAGGCUUAACCUU